UUAAACUAUGUUUUGGAUUCAGACACAGACUCUACAGCAUAAAGGCGGCGCCGAAGCGCCGAAGCACAUCUUGCUUCCACAUGUUUACAAGGUUGAAGGCCAAAAGGCCAUUCAGUAAUGAUCCCUCCGCAGGUUCACCUACGGAGA
rnacentral:misc_RNA from 1 species